CAACCUCCGAUCCCUCCCCGAUCCGAGCGGGCAUGCCGGUCGCUCCCGAGCUCUUCCCGAUGUAAGAAGUCGACUCCGACGAAUAGUCGAGGUGUCCGCUCCAUUAUCUUUAUAUAUUUUUUUUGUUUCUGUUUUGUUUUUGAUGUUUGUAAUCGAGCUUCGUCCCAAUUUUGUAGCCGGACUUCGGCUCAAUUUUGUAAGUUAUUUCAACUUAACAA
rnacentral:lncRNA from 1 species